rnacentral:rRNA from 1 species
CCUACGGGAGGCAGCAGUGGGGAAUAUUGCGCAAUGGGCGAAAGCCUGACGCAGCGACGCCGCGUGAGGGAUGAAGGUCUUCGGAUCGUAAACCUCUUUCAGCAGGGAAGAACGGUCACUGUGCUAAUCAGCAGUGAAUUGACGGUACCUGCAAAGGAAGCACCGGCUAACUCCGUGCCAGCAGCCGCGGUAAUACGGAGGGUGCGAGCGUUAAUCGGAAUUACUGGGCGUAAAGCGCUCGUAGGCGGUAUGUCAAGUCAAGGGUGAAGUCCCCGCGCUCAACGUGGGAACUGCCUUUGAAACUGGCAAACUGGAGUGUGUGAGAGGAUAGUGGAAUUCCAGGUGUAGGAGUGAAAUCCGUAGAUAUCUGGAGGAACAUCAGUGGCGAAGGCGACUAUCUGGCACAUAACUGUCGCUGAGGAGCGAAAGCGUGGGUAGCAAACAGGAUUAGAUACCCGGGUAGUC